GAGCUCAGUGAUAGAGCUUCUGCCUUGCAUUUAGAAGGUCCCAAGUUCAAUCCCUGGUAUCUCCA